rnacentral:rRNA from 1 species
GUCUUGUUGAUAAUAAUUUCAAGUCUGACCUGCUCGAUGAUGACUUAAAUGGCCGCGGUAUAUUGACCGUGCAAAGGUAGCAUAAUCACUAGUUUUUUAAUUGGAAGCUUGAAUGAAAGGUUAAAUGAGAAAGAAUCUGUCUCUAUAAAAAUUAAUUAGAAUUUUAUUUUUAAGUAAAAAAGCUUAAAUUUUAUUAGAAGACGAGAAGACCCUAUAGAGUUUAAUAUUAGGUUUAAUAGAUAGAAUUAGGAUGUUAGAUUUAUAUAUUAGAAUUAGUAUUUUUUUGGGGCGAUAGAAAAAUUUAGUAAACUUUUUUURAAAUGUAAACAUUAAUUUAUGAGUAUUUGAUCCUAAAGUUUAGAUUAUAAGAAUAAAUUACCUUAGGGAUAACAGCGUAAUUUUUUUGAGAGUUCUUAUCGGAAAAAAAGUUUGCGACCUCGAUGUUGGAUUAAAAUUUAAUAUUUGGUGAAGAAGCUGAAUUGAAAGGUCUGUUCGACCUAUAAAAUUUUACAUGAUCUGAGUUUAAACCGGUGUAAG